rnacentral:lncRNA from 1 species
ACAUAUUGUUGCAAUUUUUGGUGUGAUAUAUUGUGACAAUAUAUUUUUACACCCCUACAUUACAAAACAUGUUUCAGAUUAUUGUGCUUAUCUCUCAAAAGUAACUUCCCUACUCACUCAUUCUGAUAUUGCUACCCAAUGUUGCAGUAAUAUAUUUGUUGGAUUGUAGGACUAUUGGAGAAUUGUUUGCUGUCAGUAUCGCACAGGAUGGACCACCCCCAAAUUUUUUAUGCAGUGGUGUUACAACUAUAUAUCCACUGGAGAAAUCGAUCAGGAAGCGAUAACUGAAAAUGACAUUACAGACCCUGAACUCAUGGAACUAAUAAAAGAGAUUAAGGCAGCUGACAAUGCAACCCUGAUGGUGUGCACAGACAGGAUUUUGUCAUGUGGAUACACAGGGGCAGUGUCCAUACAAAGAAGGGAAGACAUUGUGCGGUAGGACAUUUCCUUUAAUUUUAAUUCAAAUUCUAGAAUUGGCCUUUUACUUAUUUAUUUAUUUUUAACUUUUUGUUCCAGCUCUGUAGUUCUGCACGCUACAGUGAGGUUACUUCCCAUGCUGCAACAAAUCUGCUCUGGAAUGAAACUGUAUGGGCUCCUCAGCUUGGUCCAGCAAGAAACGGACAUCUGCAGACAGCUGUUUGUUCCAGGAUCUUUUUGCAAGGCAAGCAAUUAAAAUACCGUCCAUUAUAAAAUCUGCAUUGGAUAAUUUUAACCAAAAAAUUUUUUUUUUUUUUUUUUUUUUUUAACACUGGAUGACUUUCUUCUCUUUUGCAAACUUCAGGUGGAUGCCGAUUUUCUAGUAAAGUCACUUUCACCCAUCUUCAGUGAAAAGGGUACAAUGAGACGUCAGAGAGAGUCCAGAGUGGUCAACUUUUUGCAGGACUUUGUACAGGACAUGGAGAAUGAAGGUGAAUAAUUUGUACAAAUUAACAAUGUUACCAUACUAAAUUAGAGAACUCAAAAGGCACCAAUAUACUCACGACAAAGUUUUUUCUCGUUAUUCAUUUAGAGGUAAAACGAAGUUUGAAAUACACGAGAAGUGAUAUACCUCCGAACACACUAAUCACCACGAAGCAAUGGUAUUAUGAAGGUGUUUACCAGCCAGAGCGAGCUGUUUCAAAUUCCCAAAACGAACUCCAAAUAAAGUUAGUUUUGGCCUGAUUUUGUUCGAAAUUAUGUCAUAUAACUUUGUUCUUUGAUUUCGUUUGAAGUAUAUCGGGGCCUUAACUUUUCUGCCAACAAUUAAUAAAUUAUUUUUUUAUUCUGUGGCGGAAACAAGCUUCCUUACUUUAGAGUAGGUCCUAAUGUAUUAAAAAGUAGCAACAGUAUACAACAAUACUACAAGAACUACAGUACAACUAGCAGUAAAUGUUUGACUAAUAGUAUCAGCAAUACCAAAAGUAGAAAUAUAAGCAAUGUGUCAAACUCUAAAAGUUAUUUAACAAUAUGUUAAGGAGUAGCAACAUUUUACAGUCUUACAGUUACAACCGGCCCUUUGAGGGCAGCCAUAAUGCUGAAGUGGCCCUCACUGAAAAAUGAGUUUGACACCCCUGAGUUAUACAGUUAUAUAACUCUGUG